rnacentral:lncRNA from 1 species
CUCUACCUGGUUCAAUAAAGAGGGCUAAAACUCAUUGCAAAAAAAAAAAUGAUUUAGCUGAGAUAAAUUCUGAACUUAAAGCUGUUCAAGACAGUCAUGAAGUAGAAUAAGUGGUCCUUCAGGCUUGGAUCAUGACUUUAAAGCUUGACCUUGAUUAAGAGAGGGAUAAAAAUGUUGAUGUCAUUCAUUAAUUGUCACAGUUGAUAUCACAUGUUCUUUCUUUCUCAUCACU